UGUUUCGGCUAGGGGGCCAUCCCGGCUUACCAACCCGAUGCAAACUGCGAAUACCGGAGAAUGUUAUCACGGGAGACACACGGCGGGUGCUAACGUCCGUCGUGAAGAGGGAAACAACCCAGACCGCCAGCUAAGGUCCCAAAGUCAUGGUUAAGUGGGAAACGAUGUGGGAAGGCCCAGACAGCCAGGAUGUUGGCUUAGAAGCAGCCAUCAUUUAAAGAAAGCGUAAUAGCUCACUGGUCGAGUCGGCCUGCGCGGAAGAUGUAACGGGGCUAAACCAUGCACCGAAGCUGCGGCAGCGACACUAUGUGUUGUUGGGUAGGGGAGCGUUCUGUAAGCCUGUGAAGGUGGCCUGUGAGGGUUGCUGGAGGUAUCAGAAGUGCGAAUGCUGACAUAAGUAACGAUAAAGCGGGUGAAAAGCCCGCUCGCCGGAAGACCAAGGGUUCCUGUCCAACGUUAAUCGGGGCAGGGUGAGUCGACCCCUAAGGCGAGGCCGAAAGGCGUAGUCGAUGGGAAACGGGUUAAUAUUCCCGUACUUGGUGUUACUGCGAAGGGGGGACGGAGAAGGCUAUGUUGGCCGGGCGACGGUUGUCCCGGUUUAAGCGUGUAGGUGUGUGUUCCAGGUAAAUCCGGUUCACUUUAAC
rnacentral:rRNA from 1 species